CCUACGGGAGGCAGCAGUGGGGAAUAUUGGGCAAUGGGCGCAAGCCUGACCCAGCAACGCCGCGUGAAGGAAGAAGGCUUUCGGGUUGUAAACUUCUUUUGUCAGGGACGAAGCAAGUGACGGUACCUGACGAAUACGCCUCGGCUAACUACGGGCCAGCAGCCGCGGUAAUACGUAGGUGGCAAGCGUUAUCCGGAUUCACUGGGUGUAAAGGGCGUGUAGGCGGGACUGCAAGUCAGAUGUGAAAACCACGGGCUCAACCUGUGCACUGCAUUUGAAACUGGAGUUCUUGAGUACUGGGGAGGCAGACGGAAUUCCUAGUGUAGCGGUGAAAUGCGUAGAUAUUAGGAGGAACACCAGUGGCGAAGGCGGUCUGCUGGACAGCAACUGACGCUGAGGCGCGAAAGCGUGGGGAGCAAACAGGAUUAGAUACCCUAGUAGUC
rnacentral:rRNA from 1 species